GACGAACGCUGGCGGCAGGCCUAACACAUGCAAGUCGAACGAGUGGCGGACGGGUGAGUAAUGUCUGGGAAACUGCCCGAUGGAGGGGGAUAACUACUGGAAACGGUAGCUAAUACCGCAUACCAUCGGAUGUGCCCAGAUGGGAUUAGCUAGGAGGUGGGGUAAAGGCUCACCUAGGCGACGAUCCCUAGCUGGUCUGAGAGGAUGACCAGCAACACUGGAACUGAGACACGGGCCAGAGUCCUACGGGAGGCAGAAGUGGGGAAUAUUGGACAAUGGGGGCAGGCCUGAUGCAGCCAUGCCGCGGGUGUGAAGAAGGCCUUCGGGUUGUAAAGUACUUUCAGCGAGGAGGCGUUACUCGCAGAAGAAGCACCGGCUAACUCCGUGCCAGCAGCCGCGGUAAUAC
rnacentral:rRNA from 1 species